rnacentral:tRNA from 1 species
GAGGGUAUAGCUCAGUGGUAGAGCGCGUGCCUAGCAUGCACAAGUUCCUGGGUUCAAUCCCCAGUACUUCCA